UACGAAGGGGGCUAGCGUUGUUCGGAAUUACUGGGCGCAAAGCGCACGUAGGCGGACUAUUAAGUCAGGGGUGAAAUCCCGGGGCUCAACCCCGGAACUGCCUUUGAUACUGGUAGUCUCGAGUCCGGAAGAGGUGAGUGGAAUUCCGAGUGUAGAGGUGAAAUUCGUAGAUAUUCGCAAGAACACCAGUGGCGAAGGCGGCUCACUGGCCCGGUACUGACGCUGAGGUGCGAAAGCGUGGGGAGCAAACAGG
rnacentral:rRNA from 1 species